rnacentral:rRNA from 1 species
CACGUAGGGCGCAAGCGUUGUCCGGAAUUAUUGGGCGUAAAGAGCUCGUAGGCGGUUUGUUGCGUCUAUCGUGAAAACCUGCGGCUUAACUGUGGGCUUGCGGUGGAUACGGGCAGACUUGAGUUCGGUAGGGGAGACUGGAAUUCCUGGUGUAGCGGUGAAAUGCGCAGAUAUCAGGAGGAACACCGGUGGCGAAGGCGGCGACCUGGUCCUUGACUGACGCUGAAGCGCGAAAGCGUGGGGAGCAAACAGG